GAGGGCUUUUACAAAUGGCAAGUCGAGCGGGCCCUUCGGGGUCAGCGGCAGACGGGUGAGUAACGCGUGGGAACGUACCAUUUGCUACGGAAUAACUCAGGGAAACUUGUGCUAAUACCGUAUGAGCCCCCCUUUAAAAUUUCAGGAAUCAUAAAAUGCCCUGGGAUUUUAUGGGGGGGAAAGAUUUAUCGGCAAAUGAUCGGCCCGCGUUGGAUUAGCUAGUUGGUGGGGUAAAGGCCUACCAAGGCGACGAUCCAUAGCUGGUCUGAGAGGAUGAUCAGCCACACUGGGACUGAGACACGGCCCAGACUCCUACGGGAGGCAGCAGUGGGGAAUAUUGGACAAUGGGCGCAAGCCUGAUCCAGCCAUGCCGCGUGAGUGAUGAAGGCCCUAGGGUUGUAAAGCUCUUUCACCGGUGAAGAUAAUGACGGUAACCGGAGAAGAAGCCCCGGCUAACUUCUUGCCAGCAGCCGCGGUAAUACUAAGGGGGCUAGCGUUGUUCGGAUUUACUGGGCGUAAAGCGCACGUAGGCGGGCUAAUAAGUCACGGGUGAAAUCCCGGGGCUCAACCCCGGAACUGCCUUUGAUACUGUUAGUCUUGAGUAUGGUAGAGGUGAGUGACAUUAC
rnacentral:rRNA from 1 species